AGAGUUUGAUCAUGGCUCAGGAUGAACGCUGGCGGUCUGCUUAACACAUGCAAGUCGAACGGAAGUAGCAAUACUUUAGUGGCGGACGGGUGAGUAACGCGUGAGAAUCUACCUUCAGGACGGAGACAACAGUUGGAAACGACUGCUAACCCCCGAUGUACCGCAAGGGCAAAUAUUUAUAGCCUGAAGAAGAGCUCGCGUCCGAUUAGCUAGUUGGGGGGGUAAAAGCCCACCAAGGCGACGAUCGGUAGCUGGUCUGAGAGGACGAUCAGCCACACUGGGACUGAGACACGGCCCAGACUCCUACGGGAGGCAGCAGUGGGGAAUUUUCCGCAAUGGGCGCAAGCCUGACGGAGCAAGACCGCGUGGGGGAGGAAGGCUCUUGGGUUGUAAACCCCUUUUCUCUGGGAAGAACAAAAUGACGGUACCAGAGAAUCAGCAUCGACCCCC
rnacentral:rRNA from 1 species